UACGGGGGGGGCAAGCGUUGUUCGGAAUGACUGGGCGUAAAGGGCUCGUAGGCGGCCAACUAAGUCAGACGUGAAAUCCCUCGGCUUAACCGGGGAACUGCGUCUGAUACUGGAUGGCUUGAGUUUGGGAGAGGGAUGCGGAAUUCCAGGUGUAGCGGUGAAAUGCGUAGAUAUCUGGAGGAACACCGGUGGCGAAGGCGGCAUCCUGGACCAACACUGACGCUGAGUGAGCGAAAGCCAGGGGAGCAAACGGG
rnacentral:rRNA from 1 species